GGAAACAGACAGAGACAACUUCUGAGUUCCCACAGCGAGUCUGUCCAUGGGUUUCCCAUACUGUAGAAUCAACCUACUCAGAUCUUUACGGACUUGAGCCCUAGGACCAUGCGUCAGGACUACCUGGCCUGAUGACUCCUUGCUGUCCCCAGUCCACCUGGCCGUGCUGCUGCUCCAGUUUCAACUGUUCUGCCUGCAGCUAUGGAAAUGACCUGAGCCCUAGGACCAUGCCUCAGGACUACCUGGCAUGAUGACUCCUUACUGUCCCCAGUCCACUUGGCCGUGCUGCUGCCCCAGUUUCAACUGUUCUGCCUGUGGCUAUGGAACCCUGACCUGUUCACCGGAUGUGCUACCUGUCCCAGACCUGCUACCUGUCCCAGACCUGCUACCUGUCCCAGACCUGCUGUUUUCAACUCUCUAGAGACGGCAGGAGUGGUAGAGAUACUCUGAAUUAUUGGCUAUGAAAAGCCAACUGACAUUUACUCCUGAGGUGCUGACCUGUUGCACCCUCGACAACUACUGUGAUUAUUAUUAUUUGACCCUGCUGGUCAUUUAUGAACAUUUGAACAUCUUGGCCAUGUUCUGUUAUAAUCUCCACCCGGCACAGCCAGAAGAGGACUGGCCACCCCUCAUAGCCUGGUUCCUCUCUAGGUUUCUUCCAACGUUCUGGCCUUUCUAGGGAGUUUUUCCUAGCCACCGUGCUUCUACACCUGCAUUGCUUGCCGUUUGGAGUUUUAGGCUGGGUUUCUGUACAGCACUUUGUGACCUAGCAGGACAAAUUCAGACUUAGUGUAAGGGGCCAGGAGAGAGCUUAGGGCAGGUAGGGUACCGGUCGGUGCUGAUGGUGGACGAUAACACCCAGCGACAGUCAAAAAAGAGCUAUUUGAAAGUUAAAUGCUUAAAACCAACAAAUCAAAUUGUUGGGGACAGACUUGGUGGAGACAACCGAGCACUGAAGGUGUUCCUUGGUAAAGAUUGCCACUCCCCCAUCUUUGGAAGAUCUGUCUUGUUGAAAAAGGUUAUAACCAGAAAGGUUAUCAUCAGUAUUCAAAAUAUUCUUUCUUAACCACGUCUUAGUAAUGACCAACACAUCUGGAUUGGAGCUGUGAACCCACACUUUCAAUUUUUAGGUAAUAAGCUUCUAGUGUUAACGUGCAGAAAUUACAGGCUUUUACGAGAGCAGAAAUCAGUGAAACAGGUAUCAAGAGGACAAGUCAGUAUGGGGUAUUGUGUGUCGAUUGCUGAGAUAAAAAUAAUAUUGAAUCCAUUUUAGAAUAAGGUAGUAACAUAAAAUAUUGUGGAAAAGUCAAGGGGUCUGAAUACUUUCUGAAGGCACUGUAGGUAAGGGUAAAGUGGGAUCCUAAAGCAAAUUGACUUCCUAAAUCUUUAUCAGAUUAUUACAAAUUUUGACUCCAAACACCCAGAAAAGGCUACUCUCCUUGAUGUUAUUCUCACAAAUAAUCCUGAUAGGUAUCAGUCUGGUGUUUUCUGUAAUGACCUUACUGAUCACUGUUUUACAGCCUGUGUUCGUAAUGGCUGCUCAGUGAAAUGACCUGUCCUGAUUUGUCAUAGACGCUUGCUAAAAGACUUUAAUGAGCAAGUCUUCCUUCAUGAACUAACCUCUGUAAAAUGGUAUAGAAUCAGCUUGAUCCCCUCCUUCGAAGACGCUUGGACCUUAUUUUUUAAUAUUUUCAAUGGUAUUGUUAACAAACAUGCCCUCAUAAAGAAAAUGAGAAUUAAAAACAAGUUCAGCCUCUGGUUCAACACUAAUCUUGAAGAGUUACUCCACCUCAUGAAUUGCAUUUGGCGACAGGCUCGGCACACGCAUACUCAGGCUGACUGGCUAUCGUUCAGGCAAAUGAGAAAUAAGUCCGAGGUGCUAAAUAAGCUCCAUAAACUAGACCCCAAAAAAUAUCUGGGUCAGAUGGUUUAGACCCUUUCUUCUUUAAUGUUGCUGCCCCUAUCAUCGCCAAGCCUAUCGCUGACCUUUUAGUCUCUCCUUUCUGGGGAGGUUCCCAUUGCUUGGAAGGCAGCCACAGUUCAUCCUUUAUUUAAAGGGGAAGAUCAAGCUGAUCCUAACUGUUAUAGGCCUAUUUCUAUUUUGCCCUGUUUAUCAAAAGUGUUGGAAAAACUUAAUAAUAAUCAACUGACUGGCUUUCUUGAUGUCUAUAGUAUUCUCUCGGGUAUUCAAUCUGGUAUCCGCUCAGGUUAUGGAUGUAUCACUGCAACAUUAAAGGUCCUCAAUGAUGUCA